CCAGUAGAUUAGUACUGGUAAUAACUUUCUCUAAGCCAAUUUGAAGCAAUUUGUUUUAAUAGCUGCGAAGACAGAAAACCUGAGUUUGAUAGACUGAUAAGGAAAUCUUGUGUGGAACUUUAUAUACUUGAUAACAUCAUUCUGUGUCAUCCUACACAGUACUCAAGGCAAUCUCAAAACCAGGCAGGCAGAUAUUCCGUGAACAGGGUCUCAUCACAUAGUUCUGGAUGACCCAUAACUCACUGUAUUGAAGAGGCUGGCCUCGAAUUUGAGCUGAUCCUUCUACCUCUGGAUCCCAAGUGUUGAGACUAAAGUCAUUUGUUUCCAGGCCUAGUUCCCACCUUACUUCAACUAUUAAAUGUGAUGUUUCCUCUAGAAAGCAUGUACUACAAGAUUAACACACAUCUGAGGGGAAAGCCGGAAAGACAUGAACUGAGAUGAGACCAUAACUUAUCAUGGAUGAAACAACAAUAAAGAUUUUCACCUGAGAGCUGAAAGAAAGAGCUAAGGCUCUGGAUAUACCUAGCAAAAUUUCUACUCAACAAGAAGGCAAAAUGAAGACUCAAAAUGAAGUCCUGCAAAAGACUCAGAAAAUACCUUAUGUAUACUCUGAAAAAAA